rnacentral:lncRNA from 1 species
UGAGCUAACAUCCAUGCCAAGGCUAUUACGACUAGUAUAUUUCCACAGGCCAAGACUGAACAGGUUUGAAUUCCCAAAGAGUUCAAUGCAUUCUCCUGUGUUAUAAGCAGAUCAAAGAAUAAAAUCACUGUUUUGCUGCUCAGGCUGCCGUAACAAAGUGCCACAGACUGGGUGGAUUAAACAACAGAAAUUUAUUUUCUGACAGUUUUGGAGACUGGAAGUCCAAGAACAAGGUGUCAGAAGGCCUCUCUCCUUGACUUGCAGAUGAUCAGUUUCUCACCGUGUCUUCACAUGGUCUAUGCUCCAUGAGAGCAAGGACUUUGUCUGUCUUGCCUGCUGCAUUCUUCCUGGUUCCUGGAUAAGGGAUAGGAUCUCAACAAAUAUCCCAUGAAGGAAGGAUGGCUAGAUGGAUAACUGGCUGGAUGGAUAGUGUUCCUUCAUAAACCAUGAAGAUAUUCUGAAGAUUUCUGGAUUGAGAUGAUAAGAUUCUGGGGUUCAUCAGCUAAGAACAUCUCACUGAUCUGCAAAUACCUCCUUGGACACAAAAGCAGAAAAGAAUGACAGCCUUGAGGUUACACACACAAGGGCCCUGGAGCCAGCAGGCCUGAGUGCAAAUUCUGGCUGCUUUCCAGUGGCUGUGUGACCUUCGAUACAGGACGUCACUUAGCUGCCCAGGCUGCUCUUGAACUCCUGGACUCAAGCAAUUCUCCUGACUUGGCCUCCCAAACUGCAACAGGCAUGAGCCACUGCACACGGCUGAUGAGCUUUUUAUACAAGCAGAAUCAUGAAAUAUGAGAUUUUUGUGACUGACUUUUUUCAUGUAGCAUAAUGCUUUCAAGGUUCAUCCAUGUUAUGGCAUGUAUCAGUACUUCAUUCCUUUUUAUGGCCAAAUAAUAUUCCAUUUGGUGGAUAUACUACUUUUUCCAGUCAUCGGUUGAUGGACAUUUAGGUUGCUUCUACUUUUCAGCUAUUAUGAAUAAUGCUGCUAUGAAUAUUCAUGUGCAAGUUUUUAUACAGACAGACAUUUUCAGUUCUCUUGGUUACAUACCUAGGAGUAGAAUCACUUGGUGAUAUAGUAACUUAUGUUUAUUUUAACAUUUUAAGGAACUGCCAGAUGGUUUCCAGCACUUUGCAUAUUUUCACAUGGUAUCAUCCCACAUCUGCUUUUUCCACUCACUGUGUAUGUUUUGGAGAUUCCUCCAAUUUAAUACUUUGCUGUCAUUUAUUUAUUUUGAUGGUGGUACAGAGUACCAUUUGUGUGAACAAACCACCAUUUAUUCCCUUUCCCCUAUUGCUGGAUAUUUAGAUUCUUCCCAGCUUUCCAUUACCAUAAAUAACACUGCCACAAAUGGAGUUUCAAAGCUUUCCAUCUAUGGACCAAAUCUGCAGAGCAGGAGAGCCUCACAGACCACAGAGUAGCUACUGCUAGCUGACAACCCUCUCAAAACUCUUGGGAUGAUGGUUCUAACUUGUGGGUAGAGAGUUGGAGUGCAUGAACUAGAGGGAUGCAUCGGAAGAUGCCCGAAACAUAACUAAAGCUCUGAGACCACAGCAUGGUUGUGUAUAAUUAUUCCCAGUCAUUUGCUGCACUCCCUGGAAGAGAUCACCGUGGCUGCCCUGCUUGGCUUGGCUGUGAUUGGUGUGGCCUCAGGAUAUAAGCAGUAGUGAUGUAUGCAACACGGGAGCAGGAGUCUUGGAGCCAACCCUGUCACUCCCCUCUGCCAUGCGACAGGAGCAGCACAGCCCAGAUGAGAGCUGCAUCCUCAGCCUGGAUCUCAGAAUAAAAAGCCCAUGGAGCAGAGCCACAGUUGGCCCACAGGGACCUACAGAGUGAGCCAAACACACUCGCAGUGUUGUAAGUCUCUGAGAUACUGGUGUUGCAGCACAACUGAACAAAAUCUCAUGGGAGAAGUCUCUUCUUUAUCAUCAUCCCAACUGAACUCUCUUCAGUUUUGACCUAGGCAUCCACCUGCCUAAUUUUUAAACCCUUUUAGGCAUCAUUCAAACUAACGUGCAUUUGCCAUAGACUCUGUAUAUGACCCAGUCCAGAACUUGGGGUUGAAAAGCACAAGGAAUAUAAUAAUAGCUAGUGAUCCUGAGAGCCUGCUCUGGGCCAGCUGCUGCAACAGGCACUUGUGCAGAUAGAGUGUCAGUUGUCCUCGUGUUACCCGAAGGAGGCAGGCAUUACAACUCUCCCCAAUUCAUUGAUGAGGAAAUUGAUGUGCCAAGGUGUUUAAUAACAAGACUAAGGUAAUACUUGAUCUAGCAAGAGGCAUUUGGAGGAACUGUACCCAAGCACGCUGACUCCUGUAUCCUAUAAGUCACACCGUUUUCAUCCAGUGAGCUUGCAGACGUGCAGUGAGAAAAUGUUCUUCCAUCAUGCCACCACUGUUUGGGGGGCAUAGAGCACAUGCCAGCCUCUGUGCCAGGACUGGGCGAAAGUAAGCCAGACAGACACAAAUCCUACAAUUCUUACCCUGAGGGAGACGAAAAGAGAGGAAGAAAAUAUUUUCCUCCACUGGUUUUUGUUUUUUAUAGUUUCAGGGGGCACAUGUACAGGUUACAUGGAUAUAUUGUGUAAUGGUGAGGUUGGGCUUCUGGUGAACCCAUCACCCGAAUAGUAAACAUUGCAUCUAAUAGGUAAUUUUUCAACCCUCACCCUCCUCCCACCCUUCUGGAUUUUGGAGUCACCAGUGUCUAUUAUUUCCCUCUUUAUGUCCAUGAGUAACCAUUGUUUAGCUCCCACUUAUAAGUGAGAACACACGGUAUUUGAUUUUCUGUUUCUGAGUCAUUUCACUUAGGAUAAUGGCCUCCAGCUCCAUCCAUGUUGCUGCAGAAGAUGUGAUUUCAUUCUUUUUUAUGGCUGUGGGGGGAAAACAUUUUUAACUAAUUACAUCUUAUUUAUAAGAAAUAUCUAGAAUAGGCAAAUCAUAGAGACAGAAAGAUGAGUGUUUCCCGGGGUAUGGAGGAUGGGGAGUGACCGUUUAAAGUGUAUGGGGUUUCCUUUUGAGAUGAUGAAAAUUUCUGGAACUAGAUAGCAGUGAUGGUUGAGCAACACUGUGAAUGUACCGAACGUCACAAAUAGCAAAUUUUAUGCACGUUUCAGCACAAUGAAAAUAAAAC